UACGGGGGGGGGGGGCAAGCGUUUGUUUCGGAAUUACUGGGCGUAAAGGGCUCGUAGGCGGCCAACUAAGUCGGAUGUGAAAUCCCCCAGGCUCAACUUGGGAACUGCAUCCGAUACUGGAUGGCUUGAAUUCGGGAGAGGGAUGCAGAAUUCCAGGUGUAGCGGUGAAAAUGCGUAGAUAUCUGGAGGAAUACCGGUGGC
rnacentral:rRNA from 1 species